AACGAACGCUGUCGGCAUGCCUAACACAUUCAAGUUGAACGAAGCCUUCGGGUCUCGUGGCGUACGGGUGCGUACCGCGUUGUAACCUGCCCUUUGGUUCGGAAUAACUCCCCGAAAGGGGUGCUAAUACCGGAUAAUCUCUUCCGACCAAAGAUUUAUCGCCUUUGAAUGGGCCCGCGUUGGAUUAGCUAGUUGGUAGUGUAAAAGCCUACCAAGGCGACGAUCCAUAGCUGGUCUGAGAGGAUGAUCAGCCACACUGGGACUGAGACACGGCCCAGACUCCUACGAGAGGAAGUAGUGGGGAAUAUUGGAAAAUAGGUGAAAGACCGAUACAGCAAGACAGGGUGGGUAAAGAAGGCCAUAGGGGGGUAAAGAUAGUGUAACUGUGAAGAUAAGGACAGUACAGGGUGAAUAAGCUAGGGCUAGAUACAUG
rnacentral:rRNA from 1 species